AUGAACGCUGGCGGCGUGCCUAAUACAUGCAAGUCGAGCGAACAGACGAGGAGCCUGCUCCUCUGACGUUAGCGGCGGACGGGUGAGUAACACGUGGAUAACCUACCUAUAAGACUGGGAUAACUUCGGGAAACCGGAGCUAAUACCGGAUAAUAUAUUGAACCGCAUGGUUCAAUAGUGAAAGACGGUUUUGCUGUCACUUAUAGAUGGAUCCGCGCCGCAUUAGCUAGUUGGUAAGGUAACGGCUUACCAAGGCAACGAUGCGUAGCCGACCUGAGAGGGUGAUCGGCCACACUGGAACUGAGACACGGUCCAGACUCCUACGGGAGGCAGAAGUAGGGAAUCUUCCGCAAUGGGCGAAAGCCUGACGGAGCAACGACGCGUGAGUGAUGAAGGUCUUCGGAUCGUAAAACUCUGUUAUUAGGGAAGAACAAAUGUGUAAGUAACUAUGCACGUCUUGACGGUACCUAAUCAGAAAGCCACGGCUAACUACGUG
rnacentral:rRNA from 1 species